rnacentral:rRNA from 1 species
UACGUAGGGUGCGAGCGUUGUCCGGAAUUAUUGGGCGUAAAGAGCUUGUAGGCGGUUUGUCGCGUCUGCUGUGAAAUCUCAAGGCUCAACCUUGAACUUGCGGUGGGUACGGGCAGACUAGAGUGUGGUAGGGGAGACUGGAAUUCCUGGUGUAGCGGUGAAAUGCGCAGAUAUCAGGAGGAACACCGGUGGCGAAGGCGGGUCUCUGGGCCGAUACUGACGCUGAGGAGCGAAAGCGUGGGGAGCGAACAGG